rnacentral:rRNA from 1 species
AUUGAACGCUGGCGGCAUGCUUUACACAUGCAAGUCGAACGGUAACAGGCCGCAAGGUGCUGACGAGUGGCGAACGGGUGAGUAAUGCAUCGGAACGUGCCCAGUCGUGGGGGAUAACGCAGCGAAAGCUGUGCUAAUACCGCAUACGAUCUAUGGAUGAAAGCGGGGGACCGUAAGGCCUCGCGCGAUUGGAGCGGCCGAUGUCAGAUUAGGUAGUUGGUGGGGUAAAGGCUCACCAAGCCAACGAUCUGUAGCUGGUCUGAGAGGACGACCAGCCACAAUGGGACAGAGACACGGCCCAGACUCCUACGGGAGGCAGCAGUGUGGAGUUUUGGACAAUGGGGGCAAGACUGAUCCAGCAAUGCCGCGUGCAGGAAGAAGGCCUUCGGGUUGUAAACUGCUUUUGUACGGAACGAAAAGGUUUGGGUUAAUACCCUGGGCCGAUGACGGUACCGUAAGAAUAAGCACCGGCUAACUACGUGCCAGCCGCCGCCGUAA